UCCUGGCAGCUUACAGCAAUUUUACAAUGUUUUAUGUUUCAGUCCUCACUGUAACAGUAACCUGCUGGCUAUGUUGCAGGGCACAGGCAAGUCUGGUUCAGCCUCCUUCACUGUCUGUGUCUCAGGGGCAGAAUGUGGAAAUCCCCUGCACAGGACUCAGUGGUUACACUCUGUCCUGGUACCAGCAGAAACCAGGGAAUUCUCCUCGGCUUCUUACUUAUGGCACUAGCACAGAGACAGGAAUUCCAAGUAGAUUUUCUGCUUCAGUAGAUAACUCUGCGAAAAUUUCCAAAUUAAUAAUCACAGGAGUCAAUGCUGAGGACGAUGCUGAUUACUACUGCAGUAACUGGGAUAGUAGUGCUAGCACACGCACAGUGAUACAGUUACAUGAAGACGUUAGACAGAAACCUUUUACUUCACUGAGGCUGUACAGCAGUAAUUCAUGCAGAGUAAUAUUAUUUAAGCACCCUGGUUUCCAGGUAGAGGAUGGUGGCAUGCAGCAUCAGCCUGCUUACACUGCAGAGGAGACUGCAGCUAUCAUUGGUGCAGUAGUAUAG